GCCAGCAUGCCUGGGCUCUCUUACCAAGGAAGUUGUGUUAUCAGCAUGGAGGGGUGGAUAGUUGGCUUGGACUGUGCCUAAGCCUGGAAUUACUGACAUCUGUGUAGCAUUUCAGUGGUAAAUUACAGCUGGGACAUGCUAACCCCAAAGUGAGCAAGAUGAAAUAAAUGGGCCAUGGGGCAGAUGAACGAGACUUUUAUGGCUUUGUUAAGAGUGUCAAUUGCUUAAUUGAGAAACCAUAG